AUAUUCAAGCAUGGUUUUCAUUCUCUUCAGUUGGACAUGGACUGAUACAGAAAGAUUUUUUUGUGUGUGUGUGUUUAGAAGUAAAGCUGGAUGAGCAUUUUCUCUGGAUUCACUGCCGUUUCCCAUGACAAGUUGAAAUAAUGCCCAACACAACCAGGGAAAGGCCCAGGGAUGCUUCAAGGGAGGCAGAAGGCUCUAAGGUUGCGUGAAGGCAGGAGUCGGUCUCAUCCACUGAGUUCUCUAGCUCUCCUUGGGUACUCGCCAUGUGACAUUCUAUAACGGCCUGCUGUCAACUAGGGCUGCACAUUAAAUUACCAAGGGAGUUUUAAAAAGCACACCGCUGCCCAUCCAGAUGGUCUGAAUCGGUGCGUCGGGGGCCACCUGAGUGUCUGUGUCACAAAAGCCCUCUCGUGCCUCUGCUGGCAGUGCCAAAAGGCAGUGGAUCUUGACUCUGAGCUCCUCGAACUUCACCAUGACCCAAAUGCUAAGAUGGCGGGGAUCACCUCCAUUCCCACGAUUCAAACCUGAAAGUGAGAGGAGAGGGAGUUGGCCCCGACCUAAAAGUGAGGCCUGGACAGAGGAGGCCGGAAGGUUUCUCCACACAAUGUCCAUUGAACUGUGAAUUCAAAAGAUGAGGACUCUUCCAAUGUUUUCCCCGUCGUUGGCCACGUUCACUUAGGAGCAAUCACUUUAACGGUGAUCGUGUGUGUUUAGAACAUGCACCUUAGCAGAAAUCAGUAUCUCAAUUCUUGGACUUCAGGGGUACCUUGGGAAAGUUGAAGCCAAAAGAAAAGAAAAAAAAAAUUCUCUGUGUGCAGAUGCCGAAAGUGACAAAGAUCUUCAUUGUAACCUUUGUGAACUUCAGGUUCAGGGAGUGAUUGCUUUGUGACCACGGAUGUACACUCAGGGGUGUCCCCUGGGCGAUAGUCAGCUGAAAUGGCAAGAAGUCCAGGGGCCUACCCUGGAUCUGUCAAAAACUAGAGACUCCACUGCUCAUGGAUUUUUGUACACACUUGCUGGGAGAAUGACGCAACAGGUGCCAUACUAGACAUGGACCCAGACGUGGAGCUCGUGGUCUGGUGAGAAGAGUUGGAACAUAGAGGUCCACAGGCUGCCUUCAACCCCGAACUUAGGCGUGGAGAUUUCUUACAAAAUUAUGGCUUCUUUUAAAGAGCCCUAAAGAUGUUACCCCACUGGGGCCACUACUUUCCUUCAUACCCCUGAGUAUGGUGGUCCCAUUAGCUGAGCAGACGUCUGCCCCUGUCCCCACCCUGCUGUCUCUGACUGGCCAGCCCUCUCUUCUUCCGGACUUGCCUGACCCCUUGGGAAGAGUUCCUCGGAACUGCAAGAUGCAGCUGAUGAAAACGUUCACCCAGAAUGUGAAAGCCAUGGAAUGAUGUAAAACUCACAGACAGGUCAGAACCUAGUGUCAGAGCAAUCAAAGUUAGACAUUAAGAAAGCCAUUUCCUGCAGCCAGAAUUGUGAAAGCCUCUGACGUAGGACCAAAGGAAAAUUACUGAAGCCUGCUUCCUAAAGAAUCUUCAGGAAAAGGGGCCCAGCUGUCUGAUGCGAUCCCAGGGAGGCCUUACCCUGAGGCAAUCGUCUUUUCUUCUAGUUCCUUCCAGCCAGAAUAUCCUUUUUCCAUGAGAAAUGUUGAGCCAUGCAGAUGAGUGUGCCAAGUGCUUCCAAACUAUAUUGCUAAAUAACUCCCGCUCCCUGUCUCCCUGCACGUUCUUCUCCUUUGUUCCCAGUUAAGAAAAUGACUUGAUUUUUUUUUCCCCCUAUAAAGCUCAGUCAAUGUUUUGCUGCAAUCGGGAAGAGGGGAUUACAGGACACAGAUGGGUCAGGGUGCAGGGCUGUGUGAACUGCAGGUUCAGGGAGUGAUUGCUCUCACAGCAGGAGAAGCAGGCAUCUGCAGAUGGGGACAAAGCAGGUUGUGUUUUGUGCAGUGCCAGCAGACUCUGUGUUCAUUGAAAAAAAAUGUGAUUUAAUUAAUUUAGCAAAGCAUUAUGGGCUGUAAUAUUACCUGGCAGCCAGGUCAUCCAAGAUAGUACUGAUGAAUGUUUUAUGUCAGAACUGGUCAGCAUCUGGACAGAGGAGGGAGUGCU